GAUGAACGCUGGCGGCGUGCUUAACACAUGCAAGUCGAGCGAGAAGUUUUGACAAUAUUCUUCGGCUGAAAUUUCAAAUGGAAAGCGGCGGACGGAUGAGUAUCGCGUAGGCAACCUGCCCCCUACAAAGGACUAGCAUUUGGAAACGAAUAUUAAUCCCUUAUGAAACUGAACUAUGGCAUGCUAGGUAGGUCAAAGAUUUAUCGGUAUGGGAUGGGCCUGCGUCUGAUUAGCUAGUUGGUGAGGUAUCGGCUCACCAAGGCGACGAUCAGUAGCCGACCUGGGAGAGUGACCGGCCAGAGUGGAACUGAGACACGGUCCAAACUCCUGCGGGAGGAAGCAGUGGGGAAGAUUGCACAAUGGGGGAAUGCCUGAUGAAGCAACGCCGCGUGAACGAUGAAGGCCUGUGGGUCGUAAAGUUCUGUUGUAGGUGAUGAAGACUGACAGUAAUCUAGGAGAAAGCCCCGGCUAACUCCGUG
rnacentral:rRNA from 1 species